rnacentral:rRNA from 1 species
AACGAACGCUGGCGGCAUGCCUAACACAUGCAAGUCGAACGAGACCUUCGGGUCUAGUUGCGCACGGGUGCGUAACGCGUGGGAACUUGCCCUUAGGUUCGGAAUACCUCCCCGAAAGGGGUCCUAAUACCGGUUAAUCUCUUCGGACCAAAGAUUUCUCGCUUUUGGAUGGGCCCUCGUUGGUUUCGCUAGUUGGUAGGGUACAAGCCUACCAAGGCGACGAUCCAUAGCUGGUCUGAGAGGAUGAUAAGCCACACUGGGACUGAGACACGGCCCAGACUCGUACGGGAGGCAGCAGUGGGGAAUAUUGGACAAUGAGCGAAAGCCUGAUCAAGCAAUGCCGCGUGAGUGAUGAAGGCCUUAGGGUUGUAAAGCUCUUUUACCCGGGAUGAUAAUGACAGUACCGGGAGAAUAAGCUCCGGCUAACUACGUG